AUUUAUUUAAAAGUAGAAACAAAAUCCAUCCAAUUAUUAAUCUAUCUGUUUCUGAAUUUAUAUCUACAUAGACUCGAGAAUAAUUAUUUAGGUAUAAUUUAUAUAGAAAUUUAUAAAUUAUUCAUUAAUACCUCACUAGGUGCUUCUCCUUGUCUGUCUUUGUUGCUCUGUAUCUCAUCUCAUCGGCCAACAGACCAGCCGCUUUUUCCGUCUUCUCCAAGUCCGCUGAGUCGCCAUCGCCGCCCAACCCGAAACGCCAUCACCCAGUCUGCUACGAACAGAGAACCACAGUCUACAUUCCUGUCAUCAUGACUCACUCUUGUUCAUGUUAUAUUAAUUACAAAUUCAUUACGAUUUUUAUUUGAUGUCUUUGGAAUGACGAUUUGCACAUCAACUAUUUGUUAUAAAGCCUGAAUGUACAUUCAUGGCUAUUUUCACUUUUCUGGUAUGAAAUUAUACACAAAUGCCAUCAUGUUGAUUAUUUUUAGUUAUUAGAUUCUCAUUUCCUGCAUAUCUCUUCUUCAAUUCAAACCACGUGGCUUGUAUGUGAACCGGUUAUAGCUUCCAUGUGAAGGUUCUUUUGGAUUAAGAUAUCGGUGCCUGAUGAAGCUACUGCAUCAAUUGAUUACGCAAGAGAUUUGAUUCUGUAGAAAAACAUUAGGCUGGGUUUGGAAAUUGUCUUCUGGAUUCUCUUCAAAACUGUGUGCUUCUCUUUAAUUUGUUUACUUAGUUUUGCUUUCGCUCUAUGUUUGCUUUGGUUUGAAUGGGCAAUCACGAGUUCUAGUUUGCAUCAAUGAUUGAGCCUCUCAAUGGGUUUAUUCCUUGUAAAAGCAAUGCUACUCUUGAUUAUGUAGUCUUUCUAUUUCAGCUUCAUCAAUUGCCAAUGGCAUCAUUGAUUGAGUCUCUCGAUGGGUUUACUCCUUUUUCUUGUAAAAGCAAUGUUAUAGAGCAACUAGAAUACAAUGCUAUAAGGUUGCUUCUUAUUGAAGACUGAAGGAUAGGGAGGCAUAUCAACUUUGAAUAUCUAUUUUAGAUAGGAGUAGUUACUUUAUAGAGCAACUAGAAUACAAUGCUAUAAAAGUUGCUUCUUAUUGCAAAAAACCAGAACAAUGAUAUCAUGUAAUGAAAAAUUCAUAGUUAACGGAUCUCUUUGGUUUU